rnacentral:rRNA from 1 species
AUGGAUCCAUCCACCAUGGCCGCCACCGCCAGGGAAGCAAGCACCGCAGGUUCGUCGUCGCCGCGCACCAGCUUCGUGGCGGACUCCCUGAUCCUCCCCACGCGCAACGGCAGGCUCUUCGCGUCCGCCUUCGCGCUGGUCUACGUCCACACCUUCGUCUCCCUCUCCGUCACCGUCCUCUACGCCCACCCCCUCGCCACCGCCGUCCUCCUCCGUGUGUACUCGCUGGUCAGGGACAACGACGGUGGCCCCGGCAGGAGGCAGCACGUCGUCUACGCGUCGGAAAGCGACGACGAGAUCCGGGGACACGCCAAGAAGCUCCUCCCCCUCUACCUCGCGUACCUCGCCAGCCAGCUCGCCACGCGGGCCGCCGUCGCGCUCGCCGCCUCCGCGACGUGCCGCGGUGACCGGCGCCCGCGCUCGCUGGCCGAGCUCGUCCGCGGGAAGGCGGCCGCGGGGAGGGUCCGCGGCACCUUGGCCACCGCCGCCCUCGUCACCGUCCUCGAGCACGCGUCGUUCGCGGCUCUCCUCGCGGCGUGCCUCGCCCUCGCGUCGUGGCGAUGGUGGACGAGCGGUGCCGCUGCCCGAUCAGACGCCGCAGCGUCUUUUGUGACGGGCUACGUGCUGUUCCUCCUCCUCCUCCUUCUCCUCUCGCACCUCUUCCUUGCCGCGGUGUUCCAAGUGGCGAUCGCCGCGUCGGCGGCAGAUGAAGGUUACGGCGAAGGCGGAACGCGCGCUGCUCUCCGGCGAGCGUGGCGGCUCAUGGCCGAGAGGGCGAGGAGGAAGGAGGCCGCCGUGAUGGUGCUCGUGGCGAGCCUCCUGCCGGUUGCCAUCUCCCCGGUGUAUGCGUUUGCCAUGUACUGUUCUCUGAGGGCACCCGAUGCCGGUAUCGUGGCUGUCCUCCAUGGAUAUCUUCUCCCGUCAGUCGGCGUGCAGCUCUUGUCCACGGUGGCGGCCGCGGUGUUCUACCACCGGUGCAUGGAGCAUCAUCAUGAUCCGGCUGUCCUUCAACCGACGACGAAACUAGCUAUAGCUAAAUUCCUCCGUGAUUGA